rnacentral:lncRNA from 1 species
GUACCAGUUAUAGCCCACACAUCAUAAUCAGGCAGUUUUCAGUUUUCACCCAACAAGUGAUUAGUCCUCUUGCUUUGGGGACUCUAGUCCAUUGCACUUCAUGUGUUGAAUUUUCAUUAUUUAUCUGUAUUGAUUAGUGGUAGUUGGAGGCAUAUACCAGAUCUCUAUAGUCAGUAUAGUAGAGGCUUUAUAGAUAGUUAGUCAG